AAAACAAUACAAGAUAACGAAUAUAAGUUUGAAUAAGUAU
rnacentral:guide_RNA from 1 species